rnacentral:tRNA from 1 species
GCACUCGUAGCUCAGUGGAUGGAGCAGGAGUUUCGUAGCUUCCCGAUCACAGGUUCAAGUCCUGUCGAGUACU